UCUCGUGUCGGUAAUCUAUGUGCGAUCCAAAGAAACGUGAAUCAAAAAGUUGUGCCGAUGGUUCAUUGUAAAUGAUUGAUGAGAGGAUUCCUGACAUAUAUAUGAAAACUGACCUCGCGGCUCAGCACAUUUUUGUAGAUUAAAAUUAAGAUAGUAUCCACUUGAGGUUCCUUUCGCCAACGGUUAUUCUAAGUGAGUGACUUAAGAUUUUGAAAUGUGAAAAACACAAUUAAAUGAGUGAUGUGCACCAAUUCGACGUCUAAGAAAAUUAAGUAAUUACAACUUAAUUGAUAAGUAAAAACUCACGCGGAACGAGCAAGAAUUGCAAUGUACACAAAUGCAAAGCUGAUUCUAUUUAAAGUGGCUUAAGUGAAAUAAGUAAGUUGAAUAAGAUGCGGAUUCGAAACAUCAAAACUUCAUAAAGUAAUUCAUGUCGUUUCAGUCGACGCAAAAUUCUUAAACUGUUUUUUUUUUUUUGCAAAAACGGAAUGGAGCUAUGGAAAAAUCAAAUGUAUAAUCAAGCUCCCGUGACUUUUUGGUGAUUUCAACUUUAGGAAGAGCAUUUCCACGGGACCUUAUUAAUAAAUCGAGUGAAAUGGCUAUCAAGUUUAUACCAAACUUUCACGUAAUCUUGUCCGUGAACCCCAUUCAUUUAUAUGAAACCCUCUCUUUUCAACUCAACGUCGGUUUCACCCUUGUUUGGCUCUUCGUCACGCUCACCUGCACGCUUGGUGUCAAUAUUUGAGAUAGAGGCUGUUACUAUAGCGUCCUAACGCAGAAGUUUAUUAAUUGUUAACCUGAUGGACUUCAUUAUAAUAGAAAAAAAUACAAACAAAUCACAACAA